rnacentral:rRNA from 1 species
UACGUAGGGGGCAAGCGUUGUCCGGAAUCAUUGGGCGUAAAGCGCGUGUAGGCGGCUCGGUAAGUCCGCUCUGAAAGCCCGGGGCUCAACCCCGGGAGGCGGGUGGAUACUGCUGAGCUCGAGUCCGGAAGAGGAGUGUGGAAUUCCUGGUGUAGCGGUGGAAUGCGUAGAGAUCGGGAAGAACAUCAGUGGCGAAGGCGGUCUGCUGGGCCGAUACUGACGCUGAGGCGCGAAAGCCAGGGGAGCGAACGGG